rnacentral:rRNA from 1 species
UACGUAGGCAGCGAGCGUUGUUCGGAGUUACUGGCGUAAAGGGUGUGUAGGCGGUUCUUUAAGUUUGGUGUGAAAUCUCCCGGCUCAACCGGGAGGGUGCGCCGAAUACUGAGGGACUAGAGUACGGGAGAGGAAAGUGGAAUUCCUGGUGUAGCGGUGAAAUGCGUAGAUAUCAGGAGGAACACCGGUGGUGUAGACGGCUUUCUGGACCGUAACUGACGCUGAGACACGAAAGCGUGGGUAGCAAACAGG